UACGGGGGGAGCAAGCGUUGUUCGGAUUUACUGGGCGUAAAGGGCGCGUAGGCGGCCACUGCAAGUCAGUUGUGAAAUCUCCGGGCUUAACUCGGAAAGGCCAACUGAUACUGCAGGGCUAGAGUGCGGAAGGGGCAACUGGAAUUCCAGGUGUAGCGGUGAAAUGCGUAGAUAUCUGGAGGAACACCGGUGGCGAAGGCGGCGUCCUGGACCAACACUGACACUGAUGAGCGAAAGCCAGGGGAGCAAACGGG
rnacentral:rRNA from 1 species